rnacentral:rRNA from 1 species
UACGUAGGGUGCGAGCGUUGUCCGGAAUUAUUGGGCGUAAAGGGCUCGUAGGCGGUUUGUCGCGUCGGGAGUGAAAACCUUGGGCUUAACUCAGGGCUUGCUUUCGAUACGGGCAGACUAGAGGUAUGCAGGGGGAGAACGGAAUUCCUGGUGUAGCGGUGAAAUGCGCAGAUAUCAGGAGGAACACCGGUGGCGAAGGCGGGUCUCUGGGCCGUAACUGACGCUGAGGAGCGAAAGCGUGGGGAGCGAACAGG